GUGCUUUGGGCCCCGGCGGGGAGCUGGAGCCAGAGCGGCUACCCCGAAAGCUACGGGCCGAGCUUGAGGCCGCGCUGGGGAAGAAGCACAAGGGCGGUGAUAGCUCCAGUGGCCCCCAACGCUUGGUUUCUUUCCGUCUCAUCCGGGAUCUGCACCAGCAUCUGAGAGAAAGGGAUUCCAAACUAUACCUCCAUGAGCUCCUAGAAGGCAGUGAAAUCUAUCUCCCAGAGGUUGUGAAGCCUCCACGGAACCCAGAACUAGUUGCCCGGCUGGAGAAGAUUAAGAUACAGCUGGCCAAUGAGGAAUAUAAGCGGAUCACCCGCAACGUCACUUGUCAGGAUACAAGACAUGGUGGGACUCUCAGCGACCUGGGAAAGCAAGGUGAGGUGCUAGGAGAUCAGGCUUCUAAAACCUUUUCCUGAGAUGGGUCAUGACACUCAGGCUUGUUGUUUGACUGAAACCCAGUUGGUGGGGGAGCCAUGAGAUAAGAGCACCUCCUAGAGAAUGUUGAACUAAAGGUGCCCUCUCUGGCUCCUCCCCAAAGUGAGAUCAUUGAAGGCUCUGGUCAUCACCAUCUUCAAUUUCAUUGUCACGGUGGUUGCUGCCUUCGUCUGCACUUACCUUGGAAGCCAAUAUAUCUUCACAGAAAUGGCCUCGCGGGUGCUAGCUGCAUUGAUCGUCGCCUCUGUGGUGGGUCUGGCCGAGCUGUAUGUCAUGGUGCGGGCAAUGGAAGGC
rnacentral:sRNA from 1 species